UUUUGGGGAAGGAGGAGGGAUUGGACGCUCCUUUCACCCCACUUAUCUCAGGGCCCUUUUCUUUCCUACCCGGGGGGCAGACAGCCCGUGUGAUGUUUGCUGAGCUGACCUGCAGGGAGCCUGAUGGACCCAGGGGAUGGGAACGGGGCUGUGUCGGGUUCGCUGCUCUGGGAAGGAAGCGCAUUAGAGCAGAGCAGGCGUGAGGACCAGGACUUGCAGGUUGUGCCCUGCUCUGGCUCUUCGAAAGGAGUGCUGUCCAGCAUGCCAUAGUGAGGGGCAUGGUUUGGGGGGACUCCUGCGUCCUGUUUCUAGCUGAGGGAAGGAGGGAAGGGGUGGGAGGAAGGCUCUGUGGCUCAGGACUCCUGGCUUCUUUUGGGGAUGUCUCUUCCCCAGAAUGAACCCACAAAUCAUCUGUGCAUUGAGUCAAUCGAUCCCUUGGGUGAUGCUGUCAGCACGUACAUGGAGCGGUGAUCAACGUGAGCCAUGAUGCACGACUGAUCCCGCAGACCAGCUGCCAGCUCUGGGUGGUGGAGGAGCAGUCCAUCAGCCACAUCAACGGCGACUUCGACUGCAAGCGGGAGGUGCUGGAGGCCUCGGGCCAGGUCAGCAUUAACUGGCCCCGGGAGUGACCUUGCUGUGGGGAGGCUCCUCGAGGACCUGCCCAUCCCCUCUCAGAGACCUGCCUCCACAGCUUCACGUGCACCCACACCCAGAGGACUCUGUAGAGGGGGCAGGGCCGCAGGCAUGGUUGUGGUUGAACUUUGAAGAUGUGUUUUGGGGGCCUAAUGCAAGACAUGUUAUAUUUUUAGAGCUGUUCUUCUACACCUGCUGCUUUCCCAGGAGAGAGAGACUUAAUUUAUAUGAAUGGUAGGGAGGGGGUUGUACUGGAACGGUCUGUUUUAGGCAGGAGUGAGGGCUGUCCUUGUCCCAUUGCUGGGUUCCCUGCCCCCAGUCUGGAGAAUGACUUGAGCCUUGUUUUGCUUCCACCCAAGAAGAUUAUAUUAAAAUAUAAUAAAGGAAAA